ACCACAUAAUUUUGUACACUGAUUUGUGUGGUUCAUACCUUAUUAAGCGUCAACUUCGAUAGACCUUCAAUAUCAAUAGUUUCAACCUUUUAUUGUCAAGAUCUGUACAAUAUUCUCUUCAUUUUAGCUGUUAUGGCUGUCUGGGCACACGCUUCAGCAGAGAUUUUUUGGCAUCAUCCUUGCUCCUAAAAAACUCGGAAACUUCAAUUCAAUCUGUCAUCGUGUGAUAAAAAAGAAGAUUCCACGUCAGCUUAUGUUGAAAAGAACUCUUUGUUUGUCUAAAAAUGUCUUAAUUACCAAGGUUUCGCCGUCAAAACAAGUGACGUCAAAGGCAGGCGCGACCGAGCUUUGGACUAAUGUUGUGUCUACACCGGAAGGCCGGAACACUUUACUCGACGGCGUCUGCUGAUCUUGCAUGUUUAUGAAAUCUUCCUUUUCUGAGGUUUUUCUUAUCUUGUUGUUAGGACACAGAAAGACACUUGACAUAACACAAAGGUUUAAUUUUGAUGGCAUCAAUCAUUUUCUUAGGGAAUAAAUACAAUGUUAUGUACA